GCGUGCCUAACACAUGCAAGUCGAACGAGAAAGCUCCUUCGGGAGUUAGUAGAGUGGCGCACGGGUGAGUAACACGUGGAUAAUCUGCCUGAUAAUCUGGGAUAACAUUUCGAAAGGGAUGCUAAUACCGGAUAAGCCCACAGCCUCUUCGGAGGCAGCGGGAAAAGAUGGCCUCUUCUUGAAAGCUAUUGUUAUCAGAUGAGUCCGCGGUCCAUUAGCUAGUUGGUAGGGUAAUGGCCUACCAAGGCAACGAUGGAUAGCUGGUUUGAGAGAAUGAUCAGCCACACUGGAACUGAGACACGGUCCAGACUCCUACGGGAGGCAGCAGUGGGGAAUUUUGCGCAAUGGGGGAAACCCUGACGCAGCAACGCCGCGUGAGUGAUGAAGGUUUUCGGAUCGUAAAGCUCUGUCAAGAGGGAAGAAACCUCCAAUGGUUAAUAUCUGUUGGAAUUGACGGUACCUCUAGAGGAAGCACCGGCUAACUCCGUGCCAGCAGCCGCGGUAAUACGGAGGGUGCAAGCGUUGUUCGGAAUUAUUGGGCGUAAAGCGCGUGUAGGCGGUUUGUUAAGUCUGAUGUGAAAGCCCCGGGCUCAACCUGGGAAGUGCAUUGGAAACUGGCAAACUUGAGUACGGGAGAGGGAAGUGGAAUUUCGAGUGUAAGGGGUGAAAUCCGUAGAUAUUCGAAGGAACACCAGUGGCGAAGGCGGCUUCCUGGACCGAUACUGACGCUGAGACGCGAAAGCGUGGGGAGCAAACAGGAUUAGAUACCCUGCUAGUCCACGCCGUAAACGAUGGGUACUAGGUGUUGCGGGUAUUGACCCCUGCAGUGCCGAAGCUAACGCAUUAAGUACCCCGCCUGGGGAGUACGGCCGCA
rnacentral:rRNA from 1 species